rnacentral:misc_RNA from 1 species
GUGCAUUAGAUGGAACACAUAUUCGAGUUAAAGUGCCAAGAGAACUUGCCCCUAGAUUUCGAGGAAGAAAAGAAUGGCCUACGCAAAAUGUGUUAGCAGCAUGUUCUUUUGAUAUGAAAUUCACUUAUGUGUUACCUGGUUGGGAAGGAACUGCAUCUGACUCAAGAAUUCUAAAAAAUGCAUUGGAUAGAGAGGAUAAACUUUUAAUUCCACAAGGUAAGUAUAAUUGAAUAUGGAAAGCUUUUGCAUUUAAGUAUUUUAUUGGACAAAAAUUCAUUAAUUUCCCCCUUUGGUAGGAAAAUUUUAUCUCGUGGAUG